AGUCACAAAAGGAUGAACAGUAGGUCCACUUAAUGAAGAAUUUCGAUUGGUCAGAUUCACAGAGACAAAUAGUAGGAUGGCUGUCACCAGGGUCUGUGGGGAGGGUGGAAAGGGGAGUCUUUACUCAGUGGGUACAGAGUUUCAGUAUUUUGCAAGAUGAACAGAAUUCUGCGAGUGGAUGGAGGUGAUGUUAGUUGGACAGUGUGGAUAUACUUAACACCUUUGAACUAUAUGCUUUAAAGUGGUUAAGAUGGUAAAUACUGUGUUAUGUGUAUUUCAAUACAAUUUUUUUUAAAACGGUUGAUGAAAAAGUAAGAAAUGGAGAUUUAGGUAGAUAACAUUUACAUGAAUUUCACAAUACAUUCAUACAAGCGACUUGGUGCAAAAUGUGGAGUAGGAAGAUCUUGGAGUUGCUCCCUCCAACAAAGCAGCCAUUCAACUGGUGAAACCAUUUGGAGUCCACAGUUUCAGAACUCUGGAACCCAACUGGAGCCUAUAACCAUGAGGGGAGCUCUGGACGAAGGCUGCUGUUCUUGGGGGCUGGAGAAAGGAGGUGAUGAGCUAGUCAGUCCUCAAGUCACAAAGUGAUGAUGCGAGGGGAGGAGCCAAGUGCCUGCCGAAACUCACCCGGGAGUGGCCUGCAGCCCCAGGUCUGCCACAUGCGCGUCUCACUGCUGCCUCCAGGUCUCUGAAGCCUCAGCGUUCACCCCUGCCCUCCCUUGGAGCACCUUGCCUCCUGGCACCGUCCGCAGGAACACAACCUCAGUUCUUCCCUCUGCCAGGAUGACUUGGCCCAUCUGCACCAUAUUGAUUGAAAUUCAAGUGGAAACUUUUGAGUCAUUUUUUUUUAAAAGAAAGAAAAACAUCAGACACAACUGAAAAAAAACUCAAAUGCUGUUCAGUUCUCUGGGUUUGUGCCACACUGGAGGGAACAACGUGUAGAUUCUUCUUCAAAAGCUGUCAGAAUAUUUGCCUUCAGUUUGCUCUGACUCAGCUCUCUGCAAGAAAGACAUGUUGCUCUAGCUGAUUCAUCAAUAACCACCUCUGGUUCAAGAGCAGUCACCAGUCACCUUUGAGGCCACUUGACCCACUUCAAGAAGGGGGUGCUUGUGGUCAGAACGGAACACACUUAUCUCCCAGAGUGAGCAUACCUUGAACCGCCCAGAGCAGGACAGCUGGAUUUAUCUUCUUCACUCUUGGGUUCAUCCCAAAGGCUUUGAGCAGAAAUAAGUGUUUGGGGGAAAAGACACUAUUUAGAAAAUGUCAAAUCACCAAGUGUUUAUAUUAUCAUGAUGAGUCAACAAAAGUUCUUUUAAAAAGAAUGUCAGCUGUACCAGUCCCAAAUAUCUAAGGAUUAAGAAGGCCAUGCACAUAUCCGGGACUGUGUGUAUUUCUAAAAACAUCUGAGAGGGCCCCAGUCUCUCAUCCUAGGCUGAACUUUAGGUCCUGUACAAGAGUAAGUGAAGGUUAAGACAGAGUUGUAAGCUACCCAAGCACUGAAAGCCUUCCCAACACACAGAGCCCUUUAAGCAAAGGGUGGAAAUAUUAUUGGCUGAAAGCAUAGAAGGAACUCUCUGAUCAAUCAUCAGCUGAUUGCUAGGAAUGGUGUCUUCACAGUACAGGGAACACAUACCUUUCAGACUUGGUUAAGGAAUGUCACUAAGCGAAGAGACAGCAGCAACAACAAAAGACCAACAGAAACAGAUUUGCACCUGUGAGAACUCAGUGUCUGGAGAUGAGGAGCCUAUCCUAGAUUAUCUGUGCGUCCAAUGUAACCACAAGGGUCCUUGCAAGACCGAGGCAGGAUGGUCUGAGUCAAAGAAAGCCAUGUGACAAGGAAAGCCAAGAAAGUCAGAGAUGUCACAACAAGAGAGGACGAAAAGGAGGCAGGGUGAUGAAAGGGAAGUGGGAGGGAUGCCAGGGCUGGCGGGAGGCAGAGGACGCAGGUGACCUCUGGAAGCUGGAAAGGUCCCCCUGGAGUCUUCAGAGGGAUGACAGCCCCGCCAGAACCUUAGCUUUAGCCAGUGAAAUGGAUUUAGAAUUAAGACUGCAGAGAUAGAAGAUAAUAAAUCCAUGUUGCUUUAAGCCCCUAAAUGCGUAGUAAUUUGCUACAGCCACUCUAGGAAAUUAAUCCAAUAUACACGAGAAAUAAAAACAUAUGUCCACACAAGAACUGUACACAAAUGUUCUUACAGCAACAUUUAACAAUAACCAUACCACGAAAACAAAUGUCCAUCAACUGAUGAAUGGAUAAACAAAACGUGGUAUUUCCAAAUAAUGGAAUGUUACUUGCCAUAAAAUACUGAUACCAGCUACCAUGUGAAUAAACUUUGAAAACAUGCUCAGUGGAAGAAGUCAGAUAUUUGCACGAAGUAUUCAGAACGAGCAAAGCUAUAGCAGCUCGUGUAAAUUACUAGGAGGAUGGGAAGCGACCAUUAAAUGGAGAUUUCAUUUGGGGAUUAAACUGCUCUAAAUUACUAGGUGGUGAUGGUCACACAACUCUGUAUAUGCUAAAAUCCACUGAAUUAUAUACUUUGAAUGGAAUAAUUAUAUGUUGUGAGUUACAUGUUAAUAAAGGUGUUAAUGAUCUGAAACAAACUACAGCUGCUCAGCUCACUCUUGUUGUAUUAGUAGCUCAGUUGUGUUGACUCUUUAUGACUCCAAGGAUUGUGGCCCACCAGGCUCCUCAGCCCAUGCAAUUCUCCAGGCAAGAAUGCUGAAGUGGGUAGCCAUUCUCUUCUCCUGGGAACUCUUCCUAACCCAAGGAUCAAACCCGUGUGUCCUGCACUGCAGGCAGAUUCUUUACUGUCUGAGCCACCAGGGAAGCCCUCACUUCACUCUACUUAACAGCAAAUUAUUUGAAACAUACAGCAAGCAAUAAGGUAUUGAUUUUUAUUUCUCAUCUGAGUUUUUAGUUUUGUUCUAAGUAUUAGCUACCUGACAGUGAAUGCUAAGUGAAUUUGCUUAAAAUGAACUCCUGCCCUGGUUGGGCUCUGAACCAUAAGGACCAAUGGAAUAGGCUAAUGGCUUCACCGAUUUUCAAGAUUCUACUCGCGAACUUCCCUGGCAGCCCAGUGGUUAGGACUCCAUGCGUCCACUGCAGGGGGCUUGGGUUCGAUCCUGGGGCAGGGAGCUAUGAUUCUGCAUGCCACAAAGAGCAGCCAAAUAAAUGAAUAAAAUCCUGCUCAUAGACGGGUAAUGGUUCUGCUACCUUCCUCCCCACCAGUCAUGUAUCUUAAAUACGUAAGUUUCAUCACUUCUAUCCCUCCUUGUGUAGUAAGGCAACUCUAUGCUGUUGAAAUAGGUUCAUUUAAACUUGCUUACUUUAGAGGGCUUCCCAGGUGGCACUGGUGGUAAUGAAACCAACUGCCAACGCAGGAGACGUAAAAUGACGCAGGUUCGAUCCCUGGGUUGGGAAGAUCUGCUGGAGGAGGGCAUGGCAAUCCACUCCAGCAUUCUUGCUUUGAGAAUCCCUUGGAUAGUGGAGCCUGGUGGGCUACAGCCCAUAACGUCGCAAAGAGUCGGAAAUGACUGAAGUGCCUUAGCAAGCAUGCUUCCAAGAUUACUGUCCAUCUCUAAGUGGUAGAUUCGGAUUAGCUUUAACCUGUUUCACACACGCGCAUGCCUCACUACACAUGCUGGAGUAUUUAAAAUUAAUCAAAUGCUUGAUGCUUUUGAACUGUGGUGCUGGAGAAGACUCUUAAGAGUCCCUUGGACUGCAAGGAAAUCCAACCAGUCCAUCCUAAAGGAAAUCAGUCCUGGGUGUUCAUUGGAAGGACUGAUGCUGAAACUGAAACUUCAAUACUCUGGCCACCUGAUGCAAAGAACUGACUCAUUGGAAAAGACCCUGAUGCUGGGAAAGAUUGAAGGUGGGAGAAGAAGGGGACGACAGAGGAUGAGAUGAUUGGAUGGCAUCACCAACUCAAUGCACAUGAGUUUGAGUAAACUCUGGGAGAUGGUGAUGGACAGGGAGGCCUGGUGUGCUGCAGUCCAUGGGGUCGCAAAGAGUCAGACACGACUGAGCGACUGAACUGGACUGAACUGAAGUGCUUGCAUAAAGAAACAGGUAGCUGAAGUAAGGCUAUAUACGGGAUUUUCAGGGAGUUAAGACUAAUUAUUGCCUUGUUUCUUAGGUCAAAGAAGUUCUUUCCAAGGAAGCGGGCAGGAAAGUAUUUCGGGAAGGCAUCCAGAUAAGAGGAUGCUUGCUCACUGAAGGAAGAAGCCCAGUGCAGUGGAGCUUUUGAGCAAAGAGACGAUGGCAGGGCCAAAGCUAGCAGGACCUUAAAGACCAUAUUGGCAGAGACUGCUCAUAUACCUCAAGAUUUAUUUUC
ensembl:lincRNA